AAAAAAAAAACGAGCGUUCGCUGUGGGAAAGGAAAAGAAAGGGUUAGGGGAGUCUGAGCAGGCAGACACACUACAGCAUUCACACGCAGAAGAAAGCAGGGUUCUCCUUCCCGAGCUUGGAUGAGGGCAGGCGAGGAAGCAAAAUACAUUGAAUUCAACUGCAUCCAGUAUCUGAAAGGAGUCUCCCCCGCCCCCCUGUGGAUUCCGAUGCAGGUCAUGCAACUUGCAGGCAAGAUGGGGGAAGGGGUAUGCCGGUGUCACCGGCGCAACCACAGACAGGCCGGGCGCCUUCGGGUGGCACUGUCGCUUGGAGUAAAAACUUGGACCAAAAAAAAAGGAAGAAAAGAACAUGCCUAUAAAAGGCAGUUUUCCCGACUUCCCGUCACAUUCCACCUUCCCUUGGCCUCAGGGAGAUUUUUACCUCUGUCGCCAUUAUGGCCUUGUCCCCAGACUGGCAUUUUGCCCUCCCACCAGCAGGAGGGGACAGAGUGUGAAGACCUCCUUGGACUCUCAAACCACUUGCUACUGGCCCUAGGCCAAUCAUUGGUGUCCUUAGGCCACUGGGAAUUUCCCUGUCACUUCAAGUGCCAUUCUGGAAUUGGCUUUAGAAUAUCUGAGAGUCAGGGAAACUGAGGUGUAGUCAGAUACUCACGCUUGGCCUCUUUUGGGAGGUGGCAGGUGGCAGCAGAGAAACACAGCCUCUCUCAGACCACUGCUGGGCAGGGAACGCCAAGUGGAUUCAGCCCAGCAUCAGUGCUCCAGCCUGGAACUGAAGUGGUUGUGUCCAAAACAUGCCCAGCCCACUUUUUUGAGAGAGAGAGAGGAUUUUUAACAUGUCAACCAGAGAAGAUGAGACAUCCGUAAGUCAGAACAACAACAACGAACCUUUAAAAACCCCUCUGGAUUUGGUAAAAAUGCGGGUUCUGGUGCAAGGGGCCCUGAUGGGCAAAACGUCCUUCAUCCUGACAGUAAAAUGGGAUUAAGAUGGGGUGCUACACUUAUGCUCGCACUCUGGGCCUGAGCAGGAAGCGGCAGCUGAAAAAGAGGGAAGCUCUUUGGAAAGCAGGUGACGCGUGAACACAUAGAGGGGACAACGCACAUGGAGGCCUACUGGAGGGUAGAAGGUGGGAGGAGGGAGAGGAUCAGGAAAAAUAACUCAUGGAUACCAGGCUUAAUACCUGGGUGAUGAAAUAAUCUGUACCACAAACCCCAUGACACAUGUCUCCCUAUAUAGCAAAGCUGCACAUCCUGCACGUGUACCCCUGAACUUAACGGUUAAAAAAAAAAAAAAAGCAAGUGAUGGACUAGGUGUGGGGAAGAGCAGAAUUUCAUUUCUAACCACAGGCAAGUGACUUAAGCUUUCUGGGACUCAGCUUUCCCAUCUGUAAGGGAAUUAAGAUCAGAUCCUCAAAACCUAAAGUGUGCUUUCUGUCUAGCAGCAUCCAUGUCACCUGGAAGCUUACAAGAAAUGCAGCCUCUGAGAACUCACCACAGACCUCCUAAACCAGAAUGUCCAUUAGAACAAGCUCCCAGGUGAUUCAUAAGCACAUUGCAGCCCCGUAGUCGUCCCUCCCAGCUUGAAGAUUCUCUGAUUCUACAUGGAUCUGGGCCAAAGGGACUGUUGAGGAAAAAAAAAAAAAAAA
ensembl:lncRNA